UGAGACACUGGGCCCAUUGCCUCACUCUGA
rnacentral:piRNA from 1 species